AUUGAACGCUGGCGGAAUGCUUUACACAUGCAAGUCGAACGGCAGCAUAGGUGCUUGCACCUGAUGGCGAGUGGCGAACGGGUGAGUAAUACAUCGGAACGUGCCCAGUCGUGGGGGAUAACGUAGCGAAAGUUACGCUAAUACCGCAUACGAUCUACGGAUGAAAGCGGGGGACCGUAAGGCCUCGCGCGAUUGGAGCGGCCGAUGUUAGAUUAGGUAGUUGGUGGGGUAAAGGCUCACCAAGCCGACGAUCUGUAGCUGGUCUGAGAGGACGACCAGCCACACUGGGACUGAGACACGGCCCAGACUCCUACGGGAGGCAGCAGUGGGGAAUUUUGGACAAUGGGCGCAAGCCUGAUCCAGCCAUUCCGCGUGCAGGACGAAGGCCUUCGGGUCGUAAACUGCUUUUGUACGGAACGAAAAGGCUCUGGUUAAUACCUGGGGCUCAUGACGGUACCGUAAGAAUAAGCACCGGCUAACUCCGUGAA
rnacentral:rRNA from 1 species